rnacentral:tRNA from 1 species
GCGGAUAUAGCUCAGGGGUAGAGCGCCGGCCUUAGUGCCGAAGGCAUGGGUUCGAGUCCCAUUAUUUGCA